rnacentral:rRNA from 1 species
GUAGGUGGGCAAGCGUUGUCCGGAAUUAUUGGGCGUAAAGCGCGCGCAGGGCGGUCCUUUAAGUCUGAUGUGAAAGCCCACGGCUCAACCGUGGAGGGUCAUUGGAAACUGGGGGACUUGAGUACAGAAGAGGAAAGCGGAAUUCCAAGUGUAGCGGUGAAAUGCGUAGAGAUUUGGAGGAACACCAGUGGCGAAGGCGGCUUUCUGGUCUGUAACUGACGCUGAGGCGCGAAAGCGUGGGGAGCAAACAGGAUUAGAUACCCUGGUAGUCCACGCCGUAAACGAUGAGUGCUAAGUGUUAGGGGGUUUCCGCCCCUUAGUGCUGCAGCUAACGCAUUAAGCACUCCGCCUGGGGAGUACGGCCGCGAGGCUG